rnacentral:rRNA from 1 species
GAGUUUGAUCCUGGCUCAGAUUGAACGCUGGCGGCAUGCCUUACACAUGCAAGUCGAACGGCAGCACGGGAGCUUGCUCCUGGUGGCGAGUGGCGAACGGGUGAGUAAUGCAUCGGAACGUAUCCUGGAGUGGGGGAUAACGUAGCGAAAGUUACGCUAAUACCGCAUAUUCUGUGAGCAGGAAAGCGGGGGACCUUCGGGCCUUGCGCUAUCAGAUGAGCCUAGGUCGGAUUAGCUAGUUGGUGGGGUAAUGGCUCACCAAGGCGACGAUCCGUAACUGGUCUGAGAGGAUGAUCAGUCACACUGGAACUGAGACACGGUCCAGACUCCUACGGGAGGCAGCAGUGGGGAAUAUUGGACAAUGGGCGAAAGCCUGAUCCAGCCAUGCCGCGUGUGUGAAGAAGGUCUUCGGAUUGUAAAGCACUUUAAGUUGGGAGGAAGGGCAGUAAGUUAAUACCUUGCUGUUUUGACGUUACCGACAGAAUAAGCACCGGCUAACUCUGUG